rnacentral:rRNA from 1 species
AACGAACGCUGGCGGCAGGCCUAACACAUGCAAGUCGAGCGAGCAUUUCGGUGCUAGCGGCGGACGGGUGAGUAACGCGUGGGAACGUGCCCUUUUCUGCGGAAUAGUCCUGGGAAACUGGGGGUAAUACCGCAUACGCCCUUUUGGGGAAAGAUUUAUCGGAGAAGGAUCGGCCCGCGUUGGAUUAGGUAGUUGGUGGGGUAAUGGCCCACCAAGCCGACGAUCCAUAGCUGGUUUGAGAGGAUGAUCAGCCACACUGGGACUGAGACACAGCCCAGACUCCUACGGGAGGCAGCAGUGGGGAAUCUUAGACAAUGGGGGCAACCCUGAUCUAGCCAUGCCGCGUGAGUGAUGAAGGCCUUAGGGUUGUAAAGCUCUUUCAGCUGGGAAGAUAAUGACGGUACCAGCAGAAGAAGCCCCGGCUAACUCCGUG